rnacentral:rRNA from 1 species
CCUACGGGAGGCAGCAGUGGGGAAUUUUGGACAAUGGGCGCAAGCCUGAUCCAGCAAUGCCGCGUGCAGGAUGAAGGCCUUCGGGUUGUAAACUGCUUUUGUACGGAACGAAACGGCCCUUUCUAAUACAAGGGGCUAAUGACGGUACCGUAAGAAUAAGCACCGGCUAACUACGUGCCAGCAGCCGCGGUAAUACGUAAGGUGCGAGCGUUAAUCGGAAUUACUGGGCGUAAAGCGAGCGCAGGCGGUUAUAUAAGACAGAUGUGAAAUCCCCGGGCUCAACCUGGGACCUGCAUUUGUGACUGUAUAGCUAGAGUACGGUAGAGGGGGAUGGAAUUCCGCGUGUAGCAGUGAAAUGCGUAGAUAUGCGGAGGAACACCGAUGGCGAAGGCAAUCCCCUGGACCUGUACUGACGCUCAUGCACGAAAGCGUGGGGAGCAAACAGGAUUAGAUACCCUGGUAGUCCACGCCCUAAACGAUGUCAACUGGUUGUUGGGUCUUCACUGACUCAGUAACGAAGCUAACGCGUGAGUUGACCGCCUGGGGAGUACGGCCGCAAGGUUGAAACUCAAAGAGUAGUCGCGNGNGAGAGCGACGACGACGACGAGGAGGAGGAGG